rnacentral:piRNA from 2 species
UAAAAGCACUGACUGUUCUUCCAGAG